GCCGGCGUAGCUCAACUGGCAGAGCACCCGCCUUGUAAGCGGGUGGUUAGGGGUUCGAGUCCCCUCGCCGGCUCC
rnacentral:tRNA from 1 species